rnacentral:rRNA from 1 species
UACGUAGGGUGCAAGCGUUAAUCGGAAUUACUGGGCGUAAAGCGUGCGCAGGCGGUUCGGAAAGAGAGGUGUGAAAUCCCAGGGCUUAACCUUGGAACUGCACUUCUAACUACCGGGCUAGAGUACGUCAGAGGGGGGUAGAAUUCCACGUGUAGCAGUGAAAUGCGUAGAGAUGUGGAGGAAUACCGAUGGCGAAGGCAGCCCCCUGGGAUGAUACUGACGCUCAUGCACAAAAGCGUGGGGAGCAAACAGG